AGUGAACGCUGGCGGUAGGCCUAACACAUGCAAGUCGAACGGCAGCACAGUAAGAGCUUGCUCUUACGGGUGGCGAGUGGCGGACGGGUGAGGAAUACAUCGGAAUCUACUUUUUCGUGGGGGAUAACGUAGGGAAACUUACGCUAAUACCGCAUACGACCUACGGGUGAAAGCAGGGGAUCUUCGGACCUUGCGCGAUUGAAUGAGCCGAUGUCGGAUUAGCUAGUUGGCGGGGUAAAGGCCCACCAAGGCGACGAUCCGUAGCUGGUCUGAGAGGAUGAUCAGCCACACUGGAACUGAGACACGGUCCAGACUCCUACGGGAGGCAGCAGUGGGGAAUAUUGGACAAUGGGCGCAAGCCUGAUCCAGCUAUACCGCGUGGGUGAAGAAGGCCUUCGGGUUGUAAAGCCCUUUUGUUGGGAAUGAAAAGCAGCAGGUUAAUACCCCGCUGUUCUGACGGUACCCAAAGAAUAAGCACCGGCUAACUUCGUG
rnacentral:rRNA from 1 species